rnacentral:rRNA from 1 species
UACGGAGGGGGCUAGCGUUGUUCGGAAUUACUGGGCGUAAAGCGUGCGCAGGCGGUUUGUUAAGUCUGCUGUGAAAUCCCCGAGCUCAACUUGGGAAUUGCAGUGGAUACUGGCAGGCUGGAGUAUGGUAGAGGAAGGUGGAAUUCCCGGUGUAGCAGUGAAAUGCGUAGAGAUGUGGAGGAACACCGAUGGCGAAGGCAGCCCCCUGGGUCAAGAUUGACGCUCAUGCACGAAAGCGUGGGGAGCAAACAGG